AUGCUCUGGUUUCUCUUUAAAACGAAUAAAUAUUUUGCCCUUUAAUAAAGAUUUCCGUGGAGAGGAACAAUUAUGAGUUUAUAACCUGAUGUUUUGAGGUUCUGCUUAGGCAGGGC
rnacentral:snRNA from 1 species